rnacentral:lncRNA from 10 species
CAGGAGUGUGUCUAUGUCCAGAGCUUUCUUCUAAAACGUUUCUGCACCACUCCUUCACAGCAAGACCACACAGAAAGAGAGAGGCACGAGGACUGAGGGAUGUGCCCUCAGGUUACCUUGCAUUUGGCGGGGUUCUAGGUUCUUGGGUUCAACUCCCAACUCUGUCUGCUUUUCUGUGUAGGGCAAUGAUCCCAGUAGAAUUUUUUCAGUAUUCAGAAGGAAGUGAACUUCCAGAGGUAAACAGAAAAUAGCUUUUGGCUGCAAAAGAUAGGAAGGAUGUUCUGGCUUUGGGCUUCCAAGCCAGCCAGCACUGCUCCUGGGCCUCAGGGGGAGGGCAGGACAUAGGCCUGGCCCCAGCAGCCAAAAGAAAUGGCUCCUCCAGGGAGGGGCAGCUGGCAUGCAACUCGGUGGCCACAUGCGUCUGUGAGGCAGGACACUGCCUGGAGCUCAUGUGGGCAUUAAGACAUGGGGAGAGUCACCUCCCUCCCCGGUGGUAGCAAGCUGUCUGCAGUGUGCGUCCUGAGUGAUGCCUGCCCGGAAGGGCGAAGGACUCUGUUCGGGGAAUUCGCUGUGUGUCUCUCAGGCUACGUCCCGGGUAAAUGUGCCCGAGACCAAUGGAGCAUGAAGGGUGAAGUACAGACAUGAAAGAAGCAAUGCCUGGGAAGGUACUCAAGAAAAAGCAUGAUGUGGUGGGGAAGGGCUGCAGCCCAGCCCUGUGCCUGCAUCCCACGCAUUUCUACUUGAUUCCUUAGCUCCCUAAACCUUGCUUGUCUCAUCUGUAAGGUGGAGAUAAAAAUAACAGUCUUCUUUUAUUAUGUGAGUUGCAAAUGACAGAGUGCAUGUGAAGGCUCCUGGUGCCAAAAAUGUUAGCAGAAUUGAGUGGAAGCAGAGUGAACACUCACUGAGGGCCGGGAGACUUAGGAGGGAGCUGGACCCCCCGGGAUGCUUUGCUGGAUGACCACAGCUUGGGGAGGGGGCUACUGCCUUUGGAGAAUGGCAACACUAUCAUGCAGCUCAGAAGGCUGGAGUCUAAUACCCUGCUCAGCAACCAGGCAUAGUCCAUUCCAUCACAGAGCCUGGGUUCACCUUGAGGACAGUGAGAACUCAGCCCUGGCCAUGUGGAAGUCAAAGCGUGCAGCACCUACGUACAUGGACCUCACCUGUCAUCCAAGUCUCCAAACCACACUGCAAUACAAACAUCGCCAAAGUAGCAGGCUUCUCUCCUCUGGGUGACAUCCACAGGGCAGAUCUGAGCAACACUUAGUGUCUCCUGGGACCUUCCCAGCCUCGGACAGAAUGGUUGUUAGAGGAACAAGGCACCAGGGGCGUGAUGAGAGCUUAGCUGAAAGGAGAGAAGACUCAGCAAGCACAUCACCUUGAAGCUGACCUGUCAGCCAGAUUUCGCAGCACCUGCCUGUUCCAGCCUGAGGGGCUGCGAUUCAUUCCUUGGGAAAGAGAGCUGCAAAUUCCCGCUCUAGGCCACAGUCCAAAUCCUUGCUCUUCUCUCUCAGGUUCUGGAAGACAGAAUGGAGGCAUCUACAGAGCAAGGACAUGUUUUCUACCUGAAUUAGCUUUUCUGACACCUUCAAACCAUCUCUAAGAAAUUGAUUUUUUAACAUACACAUAUACAGGUAAACAUUUAAAUCUGUGCCAUAAUGUAUUUGCACUUCGAGUCCCCCUGAAGUCCUAAGUCACAUGCUUCUCUUCCUAGGGGUUCUGUCUGAAGCAGAGACCCCUGGAUUGGAGCAGUGGGAAGAAUCCUGAUGAAUCAGGUGUUCCUGCCUGUUUACAUUAACUGGGCACCCUGCCUGCCCACCCCACAUGCUGAAUACUGCUGGGGAGAAGAGAAGAAACAUUUAUUAAAGGCAAGGAAAAAUUAGAGCCUUUUCAUUGAGGUCAGAAGAUUUUUGAGGUUGGAUCGGCUGGCCAGGUGCAUGACCAAUUUUCUUGGCUCCUUAGAAGCAGCAAAGUAUUUGAAAAAUAAUGGAGCCCUUCGUCCUACAAGUAAAAGCCCAUUUAUAUUGGGAAUUUUUUAAAAAGUGCUGGCGAUGGAAAAUUUCCGAUGAGAUGCAUUUCUUCCUGCCUGAAUGUCUUGAAUGCCUGCUGGAUUUGUCUCCCUGCUAAGACACUCACACUUGCAAAUCUGUGCUUUUCAAGGUGGGGAGAUGAAAAUAAAAAGUCUGUGAGAUGUAUUUCUGGGAGGCCUGAAAACAGGAAGCAAAUUGGAACCACAGCAUGUGGGGCACGGAUGCUGGAUUCUGGGGGAUAUUUGCUUAUUUGGAAAGGCUGCAAACAUUCCAUCCUACCCACUGCUAGGAGCUCUGCACUUUGCUAACGUCCCAUGGAAACCAAGGUUCUCUUUAGGACUCGACAGGACUGGGUUAUUUUUCUCAGCUUAAAUUGUUUUUAUAUGGUUAUCCUCAGUACUCUUUUCUGUUUUGGGAUAUUUUCAUACUUUUUAUUUUUUAAAAACCCCAGAAUAUCUUGAUUUUGAAAAGGUACAUUCACCCAAAUAAAGUGCCCAGCGCAUAGACAAGGCUGCCUCAAUAUUUCACGUGUCAACAGCCAAUGCCCCCAGUACGUGCAGAAAAGCCUGAGAACAAGGAAGGAAGAAAAGGGUCUGGUCCUUGCUCUGCGGGUAUUUAAGCAUUUCUCAGCCCCCUCCUCUGACUUCUCAACUAUGUUCACCUAUAUGGCCUCGAAUGGAGAGAACUGGGGUUAUAAAAGAG